UACGUAGGGUGCAAGCGUUGUCCGGAAUUAUUGGGCGUAAAGAGCUUGUAGGCGGUUUGUCGCGUCUGCUGUGAAAUCCCGAGGCUCAACCUCGGGUCUGCAGUCGAUACGAGCAAACUAGAGUGUUGCAGGGGAGACUGGAAUUCCUGGUGUAGCGGUGAAAUGCGCAGAUAUCAGGAGGAACACCGGUGGCGAAGGCGGGUCUCUGGGCAACAACUGACGCUGAGGAGCGAAAGCGUGGGGAGCAAACAGG
rnacentral:rRNA from 1 species